rnacentral:rRNA from 1 species
GGCUCAGGAUGAACGCUAGCGGCAGGCUUAACACAUGCAAGUCGAGGGGUAACAGGGAAAAGCUUGCUUUUUUGCUGACGACCGGCGCACGGGUGAGUAACGCGUAUACAAUUUACCUUAUACUGGAGAAUAGCCUUUAGAAAUGAAGAUUAAUACUCCAUAGUAUUAUGAUAUGGCAUCAUAUUAUAAUUAAAGAUUUAUUGGUAUAAGAUGAGUAUGCGUCCUAUUAGUUAGUUGGUAAGGUAAUGGCUUACCAAGACAUCGAUAGGUAGGGGUCCUGAGAGGGAGACCCCCCACACUGGUACUGAGACACGGACCAGACUCCUACGGGAGGCAGCAGUGAGGAAUAUUGGACAAUGGAGGCAACUCUGAUCCAGCCAUGCCGCGUGCAGGAAGACGGCCCUAUGGGUUGUAAACUGCUUUUAUAUAGGAAGAAACCCCUUUACGUGUAGAGGGCUGACGGUACUGUAUGAAUAAGCACCGGCUAACUCCGUGCCAGCAGCCGCGGUAAUACGGAGGGUGCAAGCGUUAUCCGGAAUCAUUGGGUUUAAAGGGUCCGUAGGCGGAUAAUUAAGUCAGAGGUGAAAUCCCACAGCUCAACUGUGGAACUGCCUUAGAUACUGGUUAUCUUGAGUUUUAGUGAAGUAGAUAGAAUGUGUAGUGUAGCGGUGAAAUGCAUAGAUAUUACACAGAAUACCGAUUGCGAAGGCAGUCUACUAACUAACAACUGACGCUAAUGGACGAAAGCGUGGGGAGCGAACAGGAUUAGAUACCCUGGUAGUCCACGCCGUAAACGAUGGAUACUAGUUGUUCGGAUUUAUCUGAGUGACUAAGCGAAAGUGAUAAG